rnacentral:rRNA from 1 species
AUUGAACGCUGGCGGAAUGCCUUACACAUGCAAGUCGAGCGGCAGCGCGGGGCAACCUGGCGGCGAGCGGCGAACGGGUGAGUAACAUAUCGGAACGUACCCAUUGGUGGGGGAUAACACAUCGAAAGAUGUGCUAAUACCGCAUACGACCUGAGGGUGAAAGGGGGGGCUCGCAAGACCUCUCGCCGUUGGCGCGGCCGAUAUCGGAUUAGCUAGUUGGUGGGGUAAAGGCUCACCAAGGCGACGAUCCGUAGCUGGUCUGAGAGGACGACCAGCCACACUGGGACUGAGACACGGCCCAGACUCCUACGGGAGGCAGCAGUGGGGAAUUUUGGACAAUGGGGGCAACCCUGAUCCAGCCAUUCCGCGUGAGUGAAGAAGGCCUUCGGGUUGUAAAGCUCUUUCAGCAGGAACGAAACGGUGUGGGUUAAUACCCUGCAUCAAUGACGGUACCUGAAGAAGAAGCACCGGCUAACUACGUGCCAGCAGCCGCAGUAA